UACGUAGGGGGCAAGCGUUGUCCGGAAUUAUUGGGCGUAAAGAGCUCGUAGGCGGUUUGUCGCGUCUGCUGUGAAAUCCCGAGGCUCAACCUCGGGUCUGCAGUGGGUACGGGCAGACUGGAGUGCGGUAGGGGGAGAAUGGAAUUCCUGGUGUAGCGGGUGGAAUGCGCAGAUAUCAGGAGGAACACCGAUGGCGAAGGCA
rnacentral:rRNA from 1 species